UCCUGCUUAACGCAGGCAGUCUCUCUAGAGUGCCCAACUUAAUGCUGGCAACUAAAGAUAGGGGUUGCGCUCGUUGCGGGACUUAACCCAAUAUUUCACAACACGAGCUGACGACAGCCAUGCAGCACCUGUCUCAGAGAGGCCGUGUUGCCACGGCCUAAGGCUACAUCUCUGCAGCUUUUCUCUGGAUGUCAAGCCCAGGUAAGGUUUUGCGCGUUGCUUCGAAUUAAACCACAUAAUCCACCGCUUGUGCGGGUCCCCGUCAAUUCCUUUGAGUUUUAGUCUUGCGACCGUACUCCCCAGGCGGAUAACUUAUCGCGUUAGCUACGACACGGACGUUGUCAACCAACACCCACGUCUAGUUAUCAUCGUUUAUGGCAUGGACUAC
rnacentral:misc_RNA from 1 species